rnacentral:rRNA from 1 species
UACGUAGGGUGCGAGCGUUAAUCGGAAUUACUGGGCGUAAAGCGUGCGCAGGCGGUUAUGCAAGACAGAUGUGAAAUCCCCGGGCUAACCUGGGAACCGCAUUUGUGACUGCAUAGCUGGAGUACGGCAGAGGGGGAUGGAAUUCCGCGUGUAGCAGUGAAAUGCGUAGAUAUGCGGAGGAACACCGGUGGCGAAGGCGGCAUCCUGGACCGAGUUGACGCUGAUGCGC